rnacentral:rRNA from 1 species
UACGGAGGGUGCAAGCGUUGCUCGGAAUUACUGGGCGUAAAGCGUACGCAAGCGGUCAAUUAAGUUAGAUGUGAAAGCCCAGAGCUUAACUUUGGAAUUGCAUCUAAAACUGGUUGACUAGAGUCUUGUAGAGGGGGGUAGAAUUCCAGGUGUAGCGGUGAAAUGCGUAGAGAUGGGGAGGAAUACCGGUGGCGAAGGCGGCCCCCUGGCUAUAGACUGACGCUCAGGUGCGAAAGCGUGGGGAGCAAACAGG